AAAAGACUAAGUUUUUCUUAAUAUAAACCCGCGUCACGUGAUGUCUCCUCAAUCUUGCGCGCGCGCUGUAUCUAAAAUAAAAGAAAAACUUUCCAAACUAAACAUGAAACUUCUCCGGUAACAUAAUAAUAUAGACCCCAUACCAAAGCAAACAAACAAACAAAUAAACAAAUACCCCCCCCCCCCCCCUUUUUUUCCAAAUCAAUCAAUAAAAAAAAAAAUCAAUUAUCCAUUCAUCAGAGGGGAAAGACUGCCUAACAAUUGUUUU
rnacentral:lncRNA from 1 species